rnacentral:tRNA from 1 species
GUGCCCGUGGCGAAAUUGGCAAACGCCGCCUCAAAAGCGGACUGCCGAAAGGAUUGCAGGUUCGAUUCCUGUCGGGCGCA